UAUUAAAGUGUAUUUGCAAUCACAGUUCGAUUACUAAUGGAACGGUAGGUUGAAUAUUGUAAUAGGCAUUUACGGCAUGUUUUACAAUACUAUCGCUAUAGACACGCCCAGAUACCAUCUCCUAUUUUUCUGUAUUUAUAUAGCCAAACAUGAACAGUAGUAUUUUAUGUGCAUAUACCAUCACAAGAUACAAAGAUAUUACUGACAUAUGCCCCUACAUUGAGUUCAAAUAUGGUAAACGAUGAUUGUUAUUAACCCGAGGCGCGUAGGCGGGCCACAAGUUAUAGUCCGGUCUGUCUGUCUGUAUAUAUUCUGAGUCUGCUCACUCUGAUACCUUCUGAUAAUGUCAACCAGAAAGACUAACGGCAGAGCGUAAUUAGACUUUGAGCACCCAAUCAGCGAGCCUUUUGCGAGUGCUCUCCCAGGACAAGAGUAUCUCCCAAAACGUAGAAUAUACACCCCCGGUAUAUUUCGACUAUUUCCUCAAAGAGGGGGAUAACUUGGUAGGACGUGGGGAGGAUUGUGAUGUGACACUCUCCAAUGGGUCCCUCUCCCGGAAACAUGCACAGAUACUUGUGGAAAAGGGUUCACACUUUAUAAAGGAUCUUGGAAGUCGGAAUAAGACGUUCAGGCGAAAGGUGGCCCUCAAGCCUAACAUCUAUUAUGAGCUGACGGACGGAGUGCAGGUGACGUUGGCCAAUAUCACUUGUUACUACCUCAUAGGAAACGGGCCGGAGGAGGCAGCCAAUGAUGAACGAGAAGUUUCAGAGGAGAGUGAAACCAGUACAGUGUUGUAUGGCCCCAGUGAGGCUCAAGAGAGUGUGGAGGACUAUGAUUACAACUAUGAGGAGGAGAGCCCUCAACCUCAACCACCAAUUGCAACAACCCUUUCAGUUUGCCGCACCCCCACCUCCAACCGUAAGGCCUCGGCCUCAGCCACUGAGACGUCUCAAGUGCCUGCUGCUAAGAAGCGGCGUAAAUAACCUUAUACCUGAGCUCCCAUAUUGUACAUUGUAUAUAUGCAUGUACAUGCAUGUACUUGCUCACAUUGUUGUUUUCUUGCAUUGUGUACAGGGUCACUGUUAAGUACACAACCACAUAAAGUAUUUUAAAGCAUGUUACUGAGUGUCAGAGUCUAUGCUCAUAUGCAUGAGGAGUUCUAAUGUUGGGAAAGCAUCCGUAGUUCGUGUGUAUACUGUUUUUGGGUGCCUCUCGAGAAAGGGCGUGGCAGCAUUUGCAAAGAUGUGGUGUACUACUUAUCCUCUCAACAAUUUAUUGCUAGAAUUCAGGUUGCUAUAGUGGGGGAUAUUUGUAAGGGAAUUUCCUCCUAAAGACCCUACCUAAUUAGGUAACUAAAGUACGUAUAAUUAUAGCCUGGAUAAUAGGUGGUAGGUUAAAUACACAUGGAACUUGUACACUAGCUGUUAGAGGAAAUCUGAAACACUUACCACGAGGUCAUUCGCUUUAUGUUCCUAUUCUUUGAUAUCAUCCUUA